CGACUCUGGUUUCUCUUCAUUACGCACAAGCCUUUCGCCUUUUACUAAAGACUUCCGUGGAGAGGAACACUUACGAGU
rnacentral:snRNA from 8 species